rnacentral:misc_RNA from 1 species
GGCACAUCUGUGGCUCUGGG